CAAGCUCAGGCGUGCGAUGGGACUGUUCAGCCACCGAACACCUGUCGGACAGGGGAAGCCGGUGAGAUCCCGGCGCUGUCCCGCAACCGUGUGCGUCCUCGGACGCGAGCCGGAGCACCUCCCGCCAGGUUCGGCUCUAU
rnacentral:ncRNA from 1 species